GACGAACGCUGGCGGCGUGCUUAACACAUGCAAGUCGAACGCUGAAGCACCAGCUUGCUGGUGUGGAUGAGUGGCGAACGGGUGAGUAAUACGUGAGUAACCUGCCCUUGACUCUGGGAUAAGCCCGGGAAACUGGGUCUAAUACUGGAUGCUACAUGUCACCGCAUGGUGGUGUGUGGAAAGGGUUUACUGGUCUUGGAUGGGCUCACGGCCUAUCAGCUUGUUGGUGAGGUAAUGGCUCACCACGGCGACGACGGGUAGCCGGCCUGAGAGGGUGACCGGCCACACUGGGACUGAGACACGGCCCAGACUCCUACGGGAGGCAGCAGUGGGGAAUAUUGCACAAUGGGCGAAAGCCUGAUGCAGCGACGCCGCGUGAGGGAUGACGGCCUUCGGGUUGUAAACCUCUUUCAGCAGGGAAGAAGCCACAAGUGACGGUACCUGCAGAAGAAGCGCCGGCUAACUACGUG
rnacentral:rRNA from 1 species